CAAAAUGUAGCUUAACCAAAGCAUUUGGCUUACACCCAAAAGACUCUAUAAACAUUAGACAUUUUGA
rnacentral:tRNA from 1 species